CCGCGCCUCUUACAUCGACCGCCUCAGCGUCGGGCUGUGAGACCACCCCGGAUCAACCGCCGCCAUGCGCGAGUGCAUCUCCAUCCAUGUGGGCCAAGCGGGCGUGCAGAUCGGCAACGCCUGCUGGGAGCUGUACUGCCUGGAGCACGGCAUCCAGCCCGAAUGUGGGGGGGGGGUCGGGGUGGUGUUAAUGGGCUGCUGGGUGCUAAUGGGCUCUCUGUCCCCGCAGACGAGGUGCGCACGGGGACGUACCGGCAGCUCUUCCACCCCGAGCAGCUGAUCACGGGCAAGGAGGAUGCGGCCAACAACUACGCCCGUGGGCACUACACCAUCGGGAAGGAGAUCAUCGACCUGGUCCUCGACCGCAUCCGCAAGCUGGCUGACCAGUGCACGGGGCUGCAGGGCUUCCUGGUGUUCCACAGCUUUGGGGGUGGCACCGGCUCCGGCUUCACCUCCCUGCUCAUGGAGCGCCUCUCCGUUGACUAUGGCAAGAAGUCCAAGCUGGAGUUCUCCAUCUACCCGGCCCCGCAGGUCUCCACAGCCGUGGUGGAGCCCUACAACUCCAUCCUCACCACCCACACCACCCUGGAGCACUCUGACUGUGCCUUCAUGGUGGACAACGAGGCCAUCUACGACAUCUGCCGCCGCAACCUGGACAUCGAGAGGCCCACCUACACCAACCUCAAUAGGCUGAUAGGUCAGAUCGUGUCCUCCAUCACGGCCUCCCUGCGCUUUGAUGGGGCCCUGAAUGUUGACCUGACGGAGUUCCAGACCAACCUGGUGCCAUACCCCCGCAUCCACUUCCCGCUGGCCACGUACGCCCCCGUCAUCUCGGCUGAGAAGGCCUACCAUGAGCAGCUCUCGGUGGCCGAGAUCACCAACGCCUGCUUUGAGCCGGCCAACCAGAUGGUGAAGUGUGACCCGCGGCACGGCAAGUACAUGGCGUGCUGCCUGCUGUACCGCGGGGACGUGGUGCCCAAGGAUGUCAACGCCGCCAUCGCCACCAUCAAGACCAAGCGCACCAUCCAGUUUGUGGACUGGUGCCCCACGGGUUUCAAGGUGGGCAUCAACUACCAGCCUCCCACGGUGGUCCCCGGGGGGGACCUGGCCAAGGUGCAGCGUGCUGUGUGUAUGCUGAGCAACACCACGGCCAUCGCCGAGGCCUGGGCCCGCCUGGACCACAAGUUUGACCUGAUGUAUGCCAAGCGGGCGUUUGUGCACUGGUACGUGGGGGAGGGCAUGGAGGAGGGGGAGUUCUCGGAGGCCCGGGAGGACAUGGCCGCCCUGGAGAAGGAUUAUGAGGAGGUGGGGGUGGAUUCAGUGGAAGG